rnacentral:rRNA from 1 species
GAGUUUGAUUCUGGCUCAGGAUGAACGCUGGCGGCAUGCCUAACACAUGCAAGUCGAGCGGAGUUGAAUGGAAGUGCUUGCACAGAAAUUCAACUUAGCGGCGGACGGGUGAGUAACGCGUGAGCAACCUGCCUUUCACAGGGGAAUAACAACGGGAAACCGUUGCUAAUACCGCAUAAUAUCUUCGAGUGGCAUCGCUUGAAGAUCAAAGGAGCAAUCCGGUGAAAGAUGGGCUCGCGUCCGAUUAGCUAGUUGGUGAGGUAAUGGCUCACCAAGGCGACGAUCGGUAGCCGAACUGAGAGGUUGAUCGGCCACAUUGGGACUGAGACACGGCCCAGACUCCUACGGGAGGCAGCAGUGGGGAAUAUUGGGCAAUGGGCGCAAGCCUGACCCAGCAAUGCCGCGUGAAGGAUGAAGGCCUUCGGGUUGUAAACUUCUUUAGUCAGGGACGAAAAAAAUGACGUACCUGAAGAAUAAGCCACG